AUCGAGCUGACGAGUCCCAAAUAGGACGAAAAGCGCGUCCUGGAU
rnacentral:hammerhead_ribozyme from 1 species